UACGUAGGGAGCAAGCGUUGUCCGGAAUCAUUGGGCGUAAAGCGCGCGUAGGCGGCCCUGUAAGUCCGUUGUGAAAGUCAAAGGCUCAACCUUUGAAAGCCGAUGGAUACUGCAGGGCUGGAGUCCGGAAGAGGCGAGUGGAAUUCCUGGUGUAGCGGUGGAAUGCGCAGAUAUCAGGAGGAACACCGAUGGCGAAGGCAGGUCUCUGGGCAUUAACUGACGCUGAGGAGCGAAAGCAUGGGGAGCGAACAGG
rnacentral:rRNA from 1 species